rnacentral:rRNA from 1 species
UACGUAGGGUGCAAGCGUUGUCCGGAAUUAUUGGGCGUAAAGAGCUUGUAGGCGGUUUGUCGCGUCUGCUGUGAAAUUCCGGGGCUCAACUCCGGAUCUGCGGUGGGUACGGGCAGACUAGAGUGAUGUAGGGGAGACUGGAAUUCCUGGUGUAGCGGUGAAAUGCGCAGAUAUCAGGAGGAACACCGAUGGCGAAGGCAGGUCUCUGGGCAUUAACUGACGCUGAGGAGCGAAAGCAUGGGGAGCGAACAGG